UACUCGAGUGGCGAACGGGUGAGUAACACGUGGGUGAUCUGCCCUGCACUUCGGUAUAAGCUUGGGAAACUGGGUCUAAUACCGGAUAGGAGCCAUCUUUAGUGUGGUUGUUGUAAAGUUUUUUCGGUGUAGGAUGAGCUCGCGGCCUAUCAGCUUGUUGGUGGGGUAAUGGCCUACCAAGGCGGCGACGGGUAGCCGGCCUGAGAGGGUGUACGGCCACAUUGGGACUGAGAUACGGCCCAG
rnacentral:rRNA from 1 species